AACGAACGCUGGCGGCAGGCUUAACACAUGCAAGUCGAACGCAUCCUUCGGGGUGAGUGGCAGACGGGUGAGUAACGCGUGGGAACGUGCCCUUCAGUUCGGGAUAACCCAGGGGAACUUGGGCUAAUACCGGAUACGUGCGAGAGCAGAAAGAUUUAUCGCUGAAGGAUCGGCCCGCGUCUGAUUAGCUAGUCGGUGGGGUAAUGGCCCACCAAGGCGACGAUCAGUAGCUGGUCUGAGAGGAUGAUCAGCCACAUUGGGACUGAGACACGGCCCAAACUCCUACGGGAGGCAGCAGUGGGGAAUAUUGGACAAUGGGCGCAAGCUUGAUCCAGCCAUGCCGCGUGAGUGAUGAAGGCCUUAGGGUUGUAAAGCUCUUUCGUCCGGGACGAUAAUGACGGUACCGGAAGAAGAAGCCCCGGCUAACUUCGUGCCAGCCGCCGCCGUAA
rnacentral:rRNA from 1 species